rnacentral:rRNA from 1 species
AGAGUUUGAUCCUGGCUCAGGAUGAACGCUAGCGACAGGCCUAACACAUGCAAGUCGAGGGGCAGCGAGAGGAAAGCUUGCUUUUCUUGUCGGCGACCGGCGCACGGGUGAGUAACGCGUACGCAACCUGGCUACUGCUACGGGAUAGCCUUGCGAAAGUAAGAUUAAUACCGUAUGUGCUGAGUUUAGACAUCUUUAUUCAGUGAAAGAUUUAUCGGCAGUAGAUGGGCAUGCGUCUGAUUAGUUAGUUGGCGGGGUAACGGCCCACCAAGGCGACGAUCAGUAGGGGUUCUGAGAGGAAGGUCCCCCACAUUGGAACUGAGACACGGUCCAAACUCCUACGGGAGGCAGCAGUGAGGAAUAUUGGUCAAUGGACGGAAGUCUGAACCAGCCAAGUCGCGUGAAGGAAGACGGUUCUAUGGAUUGUAAACUUCUUUUGCUCGAGGGUAAAGUGUGGUACGUGUACCAUAUUGCAAGUAUCGAGUAAAUAAGCAUCGGCUAACUCCGUGCCAGCAGCCGCGGUAAUACGGAGGAUGCGAGCGUUAUCCGGAUUUAUUGGGUUUAAAGGGUGCGUAGGCGGGCUUUUAAGUCAGCGGUGAAAGUUUGCGGCUCAACCGUAAAAUUGCCGUUGAUACUGGAGGUCUUGAGUAUAGACGAGGUAGGCGGAAUGUAACGUGUAGCGGUGAAAUGCUUAGAUAUGUUACAGAACUCCGAUUGCGAAGGCAGCUUACCAGACUAUGACUGACGCUGAGGCACGAAAGCGUGGGUAUCAAACAGGAUUAGAUACCCUGGUAGUCCACGCAGUAAACGAUGAAUACGGUCCUGUUAACGAUAUAGUGUUAGUGGAUAAGCGAAAGUGUUAAGUAUUCCCCCUGGGGAGUACGCCGGCAACGGUGAAACUCAAAGGAAUUAACGGGGGCCCGCGCAAGCGGAGGAACAUGUGGUUUAAUUCGAUGAUACGCGAGGAACCUUACCCGGGCUUGAAAGUUAGUGAAGGAUGAUGAAAGUUGUCCGGCUCGCAAGAGACACGAAACUAGGUGCUGCAUGGUUGUCGUCAGCUCGUGCCGUGAGGUGUCGGCUUAAGUGCCAUAACGAGCGCAACCCCUGCUGUCAGUUGCCAUCAGGUAAUGCUGGGUACUCUGUCGGGACUGCUACUGUAAGGUAGAGGAGGGUGGGGAUGACGUCAAAUCAGCACGGCCCUUACGUCCGGGGCGACACACGUGUUACAAUGGGUGGUACAGAGGGUAGCUACUGGGCGACCAGAUGCCAAUCUCCUAAAACCAUCCUCAGUUCGGAUCGGAGUCUGCAACUCGACUCCGAGAAGCUGGAUUCGCUAGUAAUCGCGCAUCAGCCAUGGCGCGGUGAAUACGUUCCCGGGCCUUGCACACACCGCCCGUCA